UCGGGAAUUUUGGGCAAUGGGCGAAAGCCUGACCCAGCAACGCCGCGUGAGGGAUGAAGUAUUUCGGUAUGUAAACCUCGAAAGAAUGGGAAGAAUAAAUGACGGUACCAUUUAUAAGCUCCGGCUAACUACGUGCCAGCAGCCGCGGUAAUACGUAGGGAGCAAGCGUUGUUCGGAUUUACUGGGCGUAAAGGGCGCGUAGGCGGCGCGGUAAGUCACUUGUGAAAUCUCUGAGCUUAACUCAGAACGGCCAAGUGAUACUGCUGUGCUAGAGUGCGGAAGAGGCAACCGGAAUUCUUGGUGUAGCGGUGAAAUGCGUAGAUAUCAAGAGGAACACCUGAGGCGAAGGCGGGUUGCUGGGCUGACACUGACGCUGAUGCGCGAAAGCCAGGGGAGCAAA
rnacentral:rRNA from 1 species